ACAAGAGCUCCCGGGGCUCAGGCCACAACCACAUCCUUGGCGCCGGCCCCAGCGCCUUCACGCAGGACCUGGCCGACGGGCCUGGCGCUUAGUGGGCAGGUCGCCGCAAGAGGACCAGAGGCCGGGGCUGGCCAGGCCAGGGCAAGGGCAGCGGAGACAUCAGCUCUGCCCAGGAGGGCGGGCGGGCCAGGCCGGGGGGAGGUGGAGGCCCCGGGCCUCGCGUGUCCCCCUUCGUUCCUCCGCGGAGCCCGCAGAUCCGUCUUCUCGCUGACCCUCCCGGCCCGGCCCGUAGGCGCCUCUGCGGGGGGCUGCGCCCGGGCCACGGCCCCAUCCCCGCCCAGAGCACAGGCGGGCGCCGCAGCGAGGUCCGUGCCGGGGCCGCCGGACCGUGGGCACCGCGGGGGCGCCUCGGCCUUCCUGCCGCCCGGCCCGCGUGGGCGUCGGGGAGGAGUCGGCGGGCGCCAGGCGGGCCCGCGCGGGGCCUGCUGAGUGGACGCUGCCCCGGAGGAGGCGCGGAGCUCGGGCCGUCGGGGCCUCGCUGCCGCCCACGCCCGCGCCCGCGCCCACGUCCGCGCCGCCUGCAGGAUUCCGGAAGCGGCCGCCCGCGCCCCGCCCCCGACGGGUGCAGCAGGCCCCGCCCCCCGCCCCCCCCCCCCCCCCCCCCCCCGGUCCUCCCGCGGGCCCCCCUGUCCCCCGCCUCGCCGCGGCUGGCGCCUCCUCCGCUGCAAAGACCCCGAAGACCCGGCUGCCGGGGCCUGCGAGCGGCGCCGUCGCUCCGGAAACCCGUGGACACCGAGGAGCCGCCGGCGGCCGCCCGCCCGGUCCCUGCGACCCGCCCCACGGGGUGCACGCGCGCCCCACGCAUACCCCACACUCCACACACACGUCAUGCCACACUCACACCGCUCGCCACACACGCCUCACACUUCUCGCAUGACUCAUACCCACACCUCACACGCACACCACACGACUCCCCAUCUCACACCACACGCACCUCACACCACACGCACCUCACACUUCCUGCAUACCUCACCACACACUUUACACGCACACCACAUGCUCCACACACACUACCUCACACCACACAUGCCUCACACUUCAUAUAUACCUCACACACGCCUCACACACACUCCACACCACACGCACAUGCCACAAGCUCCACACGUGUGCAUCUCACACAAACCUCACACAGCACGUACACAUCACACACGCCUCACACACCUCACACACGCCACACACUUCACACUCCACAUACUUCACGCCUCCCACCCAUCACAUACACACACACACACACACACACAUACACACACACACACCCACAGGCACCCACACACACGGAGGCAUGA
rnacentral:lncRNA from 1 species